GACGUAGGUGGCGAACGUUAUCCGGAAUCAUUGGGCGUAAAGGGUGCGUAGAUGGCAUGAUAAGUUAUUAGUGGGAAAUCGAGGCUCAACCUCGUGGAAGCUAGUAAUACUGUUUUGCUUGAGUGCAGAAGAGGUUAACGGAAUUCCAUGUGGAGCGGUAAAAUGUGUAGAUAUAUGGAAGAACAUCAAUAACGGCGAAGGCAGUUAACUAUUCUGCUACUGACAUUGAGGCACGAAAGCGUGGGGAGCAAAACGG
rnacentral:rRNA from 1 species